rnacentral:ncRNA from 7 species
UCAAAUGCUCAGACUCCUGUGGUG